GAAUUUUAACACCAAAAAUAAUCAACCAUGACAUAUGGCAUAAAAAUCGAAUUACCAAGACUUACGACCUAACAUUAUAGAACCAAAUCCAACCGAACAUUUAUGCCAUUUUCGCAUGGCUAAAAGUUUACAUACCAAAUUUCAACAAAACAUAUUAGCCUAUACAUACCGAAAUGUUCUCCUAGACCGACUAAAAAGAAAGUACCAAAACUUGCUAACUGCUGUGAUGACUUCGAUGACGGCCCGACCACGCAAAAAGAGACGAGUCCAAGAAACCUAAAAUAGGUGACAAGGAAACACCGAGUGAGUAUAUAACUCAGUAAGUCAUAAGCAAUGCACUACCAUCCAUUAAUAACAUUAUCACAAGAGGAAACAAAAUGGAACGAGGCUAGUUACUCCAUCCAUACCGAACCAUACCAUAGUUCCUUAGACCUAUCGGUUCAAUCUCAUACCAAGUCAUGCAUUCACAUUCCAUAUACUAAUCAAUAGGAUAUUUGAGGCAUUUUCAUACAUCAUUUUAUUUUCGUUACAAUCAUACAACUAAACGACCUUUCACCUAUUCCACGAUAAAUCUUAUGUACGUGACUUCAAUUAUAAUUGUCACAUAGGUUCAAACUUACCAAGCUCAACUCCAAAUAUAAACAUAGCGCCUAUUAGCCAUGAACUCAAGGUACUUACCCGAUCCGCUGUCCGUGAUCAACUCAAUAAUGUCGCACACUUAGUGUCCAUAGUGAUUCAAAAAUAUAUAUUAAGUCCGCACACUCAGUGCUAUAUAAUCAACUCGCACACUUAGUGCUAUAUAAUCAAACUCGCACACUUAGUGCUGUACAAUUUAAACCCGCACACUUAGUGCCAAUCUCAGGAUCAUAAAUGUUUAUACCCGCACACUUAGUGCCGAAAUCAACAACUCAAUACAUCUCACCUCUUUUCUUUUCAUUCAACACUUUCAUCACCACAUGCAUACAUGUAUAUAAAUUUAUCAUUCCAUUCGGCAUAAUUACAUAGACAUUAUGUCUAUUUAGAUCAAUACAAAAUAUAUGCUUGGUGACUUACCUUGUGUUGGGUAAGACGGUUCCAACUCGGCUACUCGAUGAUCUUUUCUUUGCCUUUGCUUGAUUCUCCUCCUUUAACUCCUUGAGCUUAAUCAAUAAAUCAACUAGUUUAACCGCCUUGCUAAAUAUUUACAAUCCAAUUACACAUGCAUAUGUAUGUUAGUAUAUUCGGCAAUCACCCUUACUAAUCACCCAUUUAGUCGAUUGUAGGGAAUUAAAUAUAAUAUCUCUAGGAUGUACUCUACAUGGCCGAAUAUAUCAUGUUAGUUUUUUAACAUUUCCUAUGUAAUUACAUAUAGGUUUUUACGCUUUAAGUUUCACACAUUUCACCUUUUAAUGCCUAUUGCUCAUCCCUUUGAUCUUAACCUAAAUGACAACUCCCUCUCCCCAUAUCUCAACCGAAUUAUCCAUAACAUCAAGACUAAAAUUUUGCACCUUGAACUUCAUACAUUUAUAAAAACUUCCAUAACUCAUUCGGCCCUAUCAAGAACCAUUUAACAUGCUAGGAAAAUAAUCAUAGAGGAAGAAAUUAACAUUCUCAAUAAACUCACCUUUUGACCGAAUGUACAAGGAGCCUCUAAACCACUCAUCCAAAAUCUCUACCGUAUUCUAAGACUUAGUCAUUCAGCAUAUAGCCCAAAUCACCAUGAAAAAUCUCAACUUUCUUGACAUUACCAAGAGUGCAUCCACAAUUUAGCUUAGCAUAUUAUAAAUCCAAAUCAACAAAUUCAAAACUUACCUCCUAUAGCUAAAGAUGAAUGCCGACUUGCUCUAGGUAAGUUCCCCUUAUUUUUCUUCAUUGUUUCGGCCUUGGCAAGAUGGAGAAGAAGAUGAACACUCCUCUUCCCUUUUUCUCUUUUAUUCAAUUUUAUUAUAAUUAUUUUAAGCCAUUUGUUAACUAAACAAAACAUAUUAAAUUAGAAUAACUGGAGCACCAUCACCCCUUGGCCGGCCACUCUUCAUCUUUUGGGUAAAUUGACAUGCAAAACCACCCUUUUUGGUACAUGCACUAAUAGACCAUUUUAAAUUAGCCUAUCAUAUUUCACCAUGUCUCAUAUCGAUCCCUAUUUAAUAAUUUCUCAUGCAAUUGGCAAAAUUAGAGAAUGAAACUUCCACAUACUCAUGUACACACAUAAUAAACAUAGAAUAUAGCAAUUAAUUAUUUUUAUGACUCGGUUUUGUGGUCCCGAAACCACUUUCCGACUAGGGUCACACUAGGGCUGUCACAGUUAGUAUUUGAUCUCUAGAGUAUAUAUGUGUAUUAGCCGAGUUUUGAACUUAAAACGAAUUGGUAUUUAGUCAAUACAAGUAACCAUAAUUGUAGAAUGUAUUAAGUGUUGCAAUCGGCCUCAACAUAGACAUGCAUAUUCGGCCAUAGAAAGAAGAUUGGUGUUGCAUGUAUUCGGUUAGAGGCAAGCAUAUUGAUGCUUUUAUUUUGGCUUAGACAAUCGGCUAAAAGGGAGUGUGGGUUAAUAUGUUGAGUUGAUUCAUGAUUUCAUAUGUAUUUGACUUUAAUGUCUAAUGUAUAUAUAUGGGCUAAGUACUUUGAGUUCCUCUUUUCGAUGCUCAAAUGAUUAAAUCAAUUUAUUUGUUAAAUUAAGCUCAAGAGCAAAGGGGAACUAAAUCCGAUAAAGGGAAGGAAAAGUGGUCAAAUAGCCAUCGAAAUCGUUCGACAACAUCCGAGGUAAGUUUUCGAGUAACGAGACUUAGUUUACGAUUUGAUUAAGUCAUGACGUAUGAGCAUAACAAAUAUACGGUGAUAUGAUGAUUCUACUUGAAUUAUAUGUUGAGUUAAUUAGUCUAUACGUAUGACGGGUAGCCGUAUGUGCAUAGAGAUCGUGUGAUAAAGCAAACUAAACCAUGCUGUUUGUAUGUGGCUAGUGAGCCGAAAAUGGGAUUGCUUAAUACGUGACUUGUGUUUGAACUCUAAUUAUGAAAAUGAAAUAUAGAUGUGUCAUGAUUUAUUGAUAUGUGCAUGAAUAUUUGGAUGAUAACCGGGCUAAGUCCCGAAGGCAUUUUGCGCUAGUGACUAGUUCCGGGCUAAGUCCCGAAGGCAUUUGUGCGAGUUAUUACAUCCGGGCUAAGUCCCGAAGGCAUUUGUGCGAGUUACUAUAUCCGGGCUAAUCCCGAAGGCAUUGGUGCGAGUUACUAUAUCCGGGCUAUGUCCCGAAGGCAUUGAGCGAGUAGCUAUAUCCGGUUAAAUCCCAAAGGUACUUGGCUUGGGAAUGAGCGACCUUGCUGUAAUAGUUUCAAUUAAUAUGCUCGUAAAAUCCCAGCAAUGAGGUAUGUCUCGUAUAUGCAUUGAUUUAGUUGAUCCCUUACAAUUAGUAUUCGCUCAGUCGAUAAAUGAGCUACCGGCCUUUGGCUAAGUUGAUCCUUUGUGUAUGAAUAUAAGGGUUGGUAAUGUGAAGUAAGUAUGAUAUUGAGAAUUUGUGCAUAUGAAAUUAUCUGUUUAGCCAUAUGAAUGCUACACUUUAGUUGUGUCUAAUUUUAUGGCUCAAACUUACUAAGCAUUAAAUGCUUACUCCGUUUCUUUGAAUCUCUGUCUUAUAGAUUUUGGUUCGUCAGCUAUCGGACUCGGGAUUAUUGAAGUCGAAGUCGCCCACACUAUCAAAGCCCCAUUUGGUACACUUUUGGUUGAACCUUGAAAUGGCAUGUAUAGGACUACCCAUUUUGUUGUUGGUCAUGGACCCUUUGGUUUUGUAUAAAUUUGGAUAGCCAUACGAAAAUGGCUUAUAUACACUUUGAGCUUAGUAUUAUAAUCGUCUUGUAUGAUGUUCGUUAAGAGGUAUGGAAAUGUUUGGGAACGAUUAGCCAUUGGAAUGGUUAAUCAUGAUCAUAUUUUGUGCUAUAUAUGCUGAAGGGCUAGUUGAAUCAUGGAAACUAUGUAAUAGGUAAAGUCUACCUUAAAAAUAGAUGCUGAUAGUAGCAGUGACGUGAAUGUGAAAAAUCACUAAAAAUAGUAUGAAUGGAAUUAAAUAGUGAAUAAAUUAUGUAAUCGAACCUUGAUGAAUCUAUUUUCAUACGGAAGUAACGAAAUGAUCAUAUGAAUAGUAUAUUAUGAGAUAUUUAAGUUUUCGCGAAAUAGGGCCAGAACGGUUUCUGGAUUCCCUGUUCCGACUUUGGAAAUUCAUUAUAUAUUAACCAGAGAUAAUUAGAAGUCAUGCCAUAUAUGUACAGAUUCGUUUCUAUAGAAACAAACGGCAUCAGUAUUGAAGCCCUGUACAGGGAGAUAUCCAAGUUGUAAUGCGCAAAGGUCAGUGUAGUCGAACCCUGAAACAGGGGAGACUUUAACUAAUAAACUGUACUAAUUGGUUCGACCAAAAAUUCUAGAAAAAAAUUUGUAGAUGGACAUAUGAGUCUAGUUUCAGGAAAAAUUUACGGAACUGGUUUUCGAGUUUUGGAACUCGAGAUAUGAUUUUUAAGGUGACAGUGAUGCAGUUAGCCAGCUCGUCUGGAAAUUUAAAAUGGACUGUACAAAUAAGUGAUUUAAGUCUGCAAACCCCUUGUGUCCGACUCCGGCAACGGUUUCGGGUACGGGGUGUUACAGUAACCGUAUUCAGGUGAAAGAUUCAAAGAUAUGAUCUAAAGAACAAAAGGUAAAGCCAUUUAAAUAUGCUAACACACGGAUUUUCAUUCUUUGACAACUCUAAUAAAAAAAAUUGCAAAUGACUUGAGCCAAAUAUAUGAUGUUGACAAAUCAUUUUUGUUUAUCAUUUAGGUAGAAGGUCAUGGCAUUCACUCUUCCAAUAUAUGAUGUUGACAAAUCAAAAUUGAAGAGGACAGAAAUGAGUUAUAGAUAUGUACUUGGAUCUCGAAAAUAGAAAUGCUUUUCUUUAUUUUCCUAAUAAUUUACCACUAUACUAUUUAUUAUGCUAUUCUUUUCUUGGAUUUAUAUCAGAAACAGGUCUUGGGAGUUGAAAUUUGUGGGGAUAGCGUAUGUACUCACAUGCUCAGUAUAUCCUCAACAAUUGGGUAUGGUGAACAAUUUAAAUACACAUACUAAGAUCUCUGGUUUUGUUCAAAUAUUCACAUAGACUUAGUUGGAAAAGUAGGAUAAAUUUGAAGGAGAUUAAAUAAAUUAUGCAGCCACUUCAAAUAGAAGACAGACUUAUUAUGAUCGAGUUCUAAAUAACAUAUUAGUUUAAUUAAAACAAUGAAAGCUACCAAACUUUACAGGCUGCUAAAAAAUAACCGAAGGAAAGCUGGGUUUGAUAUUAAAAAAUAUAUAAAUUUGGUUUGUAUCCGAAAAAGCAAUAAUCUUAAAAUAAUUAGUGGGAUCAUCAUAUUUGACAAGUUUGGAUCAUUAUUUGUGCUUUGAAAUUUGUUAUAAGAGUAAAUAACACAAAAGGUAUUGAGAACAAAAAAUUCAACAGUGUUUGUUCGAUGUGGUUAUCCCAUUCGACCGACCAAAGUCCCAAAAGCAGUUUAUGGGUCCUAUAUAUGAAUAUUGUUUAUGUUUGACUUAACUUUUAACACCAAAAAGAAUCAAUUAACAGAAACAAGAAAGGAGGAGAAGAGAUCGAGCCAGAUCUGGGAAUACCUUCAGGGAUUGUGAGAAGAGGCUGAGAAGAGCAAUCGCAAAGGCAAGGUGGGCAAGUGUUGGAAGUGUGGCUGAAGGCUACUAAUCCUUCCAUGAAAUGCCAAUAGACACAACGGAGAACCAAAUCAAGACUGCUGCUGGAGUGUUUCUUGAUUGAAAACAGCAACGGAGGGGUGAGAUGGGGGUGUUUUGAGAUAUGAUUUUAGGGGGAAAAAUUAGGGGUUUC
rnacentral:lncRNA from 1 species